rnacentral:rRNA from 1 species
AACGCGGGGGGCCAGCGUUGCUCGGAAUUACUGGGCGUAAAGGGUUCGUAGGCGGUGCAGCAAGUAGGGAGUGAAAUCCCGGGGCUUAACUCCGGGACUGCUUCCGAAACUGCUGUGCUAGAGUGCGGGAGAGGCGAGUGGAAGUGCGAGUGUAGCGGUGAAAUGCGUAGAGAUUCGCAGGAACACCAGAGGCGAAGGCGGCUCGCUGGACCGCAACUGACGCUGAGGAACGAAAGCUAGGGGAGCAAACAGG